ensembl:misc_RNA 7SK 7SK RNA
UGUUGGGAAGGCAGUCUGGCUGGGACAUGUGUCACACCAUUGAUCACCAGGGUAGAUUCAGCUAAUCUGGCUGGCUAGGUAGGUGUUGCUUUCCUCCUUCACUGCUCCAUGUACAUCCUGAAGACCACCAACUCUGAUAGAGGAGGACCGUUUCCUUGGUCAAGGGUAUAUGACUGGCUGCACUUCCUUGCUAGAACCUCCAAACAAGCUCUUAAAUUAUGCAGUGCUAUUCUGACUGAUUAUUGGGGGAGUUACGAAAGGAUUUAGCAAAAUGGAUACACAAGGUAGAUGUGGGGGCACAUGCCUG